UCUAGCUCUCGCACUGCAGUGAUUUCCAGCAGGGCUGGGUGGGAAGGGAACUGUAGCCUGUGUAGGAACCAGUGUGUCUGGUCUCAACACGUCAGGCAAGAGGCUCGGGAUUUAGGGGAAUCACCUCUGAAAGCUAGAAUAAGGUGUUCUUGGGAACUUCAGACUUCUGCGCUGCCCACCCCCCACCCCCACCCCGACGGAAGCCACAGUCAGCAUUGUGUUCUGUGGAAAGCCUGCAGUGGUUUAUCACUGGUGGUGGUUCUGCCCCAGACUCUCCGUCUACACAGUGAGCUGACAGUGACAGCGCUGGAGGGUAGGGGCGGAUGGAGCGGGGAUGUAUAGGGAGACGCGAUCAACACGUGCCAUGGGCUCUCCACAGCAGAAAUAGCCCUGCAUGUGUAGAGAAAUAGACUGCGGAACGGGAUCUCUCUCGAUGGCCACCAACUCUUCUGCGAAAAGAGAAGCUCACGCAGAGGCUGAGGCCAAGGAGCACGCAGCUGCCGUCUGGACGUCUGUGCCAUCGAUGCUGAUGUUGGAAGAGUCGUAGACUGUGAAAAUGAACCCGAAGGAGACCUGGUGAAGUCACCUGGACGGGACAUCUGGAGCUCUGACCUUCCGGGGGAGCCGACCGGAUCCAAGGAGCGCCCCGGGCGACAGUGCAGGUACCCGCCGCGGCAGCUCUGGGG